AGCCUCUGACCCUGGCUUACCCUCAUCCCUGGCCUCUGACCGCUGCAUGUCAGUGGCACCACACACACCCAGUUGUGACAACCUAGUGGGGUCUCUAGACCUUGCACAUGUCCUGGGGAGAGAACCGCUGGUUUAGAGCCUUCUCUGUGACAAGCACUGUGCUAGGAGCAUCAUUAUGUUUGUGGAGAACAUGCUGGGACCAAGGAGAGAGCCCUGCAGCCCACCCGCAGUUACUACUUGCCAGCUGCCCUCAGCAUGGAGAUUGGUCGGCUGGGAGUCCAAGCUCAGCCUCACCAGGUCUACCAGCCCUGUAGCCCUGUCACGCCCCAGCGCCUGCCUGGACUUUAGUUGUGUGUUGAUUUCUCUUAACUCAGUCUGUCUUCACCGUUUAAGUUCCAAAACCUUUGCCUUGGUAGGAAAGACAGGAGUAAAACGGGAGUUUUGCAGUUCUGCUUUCUCACUGUCACCUGUGAACCGCCCACCCUGCCACAAGCACCAGCUUGUCCCUUCCUCUUCGUAUUCACGUGAAACUACUUAACCAAAGCCCCUUCUAUUGUCCUGGGGAUAUUCGCAAGCCUAAGCACAUUCUCCCAACACCCAGCUUACAGGCUGGGGGUGGAGCCUCUGUUGCUGCCUGCCACGAGGCUUCUUUUGCCCUUUGCCCUUUUUGCCUCUGAGGAAUGAGUUAUUUGUGUAUUCUCAGAAUUUGUGAAAGCCUCCCAUCUUUCUUGAGUCAUCUUCCUGUUUCUAGAGUUUCCAGCUCUGCUUGUCCUGAAAUCUCCUUCCUAAAGUCUAUAAACACUCAUUUUAAUAUUAAAUAUUUAUAUACUAGUAGAGACAGAUUAAACACAGAACAUAUGACUCCAAACCCAGAGUAGGAUUAUCCACUCUAUUACUACUACAUCUCCAGGUUUCCAUAUUUACUUUCCCGUUUAUCACAUUAUCUUAGUUUGAGUCCCUCCAGAUACAGACCUGUGAGAAGGAUUUGAGUGUAGGUCAUUUUUUGAAAAGUGAUCCCAGGAAACAUGGGCAAGGGAGUGCAGAAGUGAGGCAAGAAAGGAAGGGAGCUCAUGGAAUGUGUGUUAUCAUGCCUCCUUUUCCACUGUGGACAAGGAAAGUUUAAUCCCAGUGGGAGCCCUGGGAGGCCCAGGAGAGCGGCCUCAGAGCUGCCCCACAGAAGGGAAAGGAGGCUGGAGGUCGAUUCGCCAAAUCCCCAUCCUCGGUGUUUGUGGGCACUUUCCGAGGCAUUAGCUCUGCCUCUGUGGCUUGCCCUGCCUGGGCUUCAUGCCAAGACUCAGGUGCUCCCAGGACACAGGAAAGAGUGUGGGAUGUGGGCACAGACCUAGUCUUCAGCCAUGUUCUGGGUUGACCAUAUGUCCUCAGGUUCCUUUCUUGUCCAUUUCAACAGCCAGGCUUUGGGGGACCAGAAUUAAGGAGUCACUCUCCUUCCUCUGUGUUCUGAGAGAUUACAUUGUCAACAGGGCCUGAACUCCACAUUUAGUAGACUGGAUCUCCGUUAUGGGUCCGGAGAUCCUCUUCACCCCGAGCCUGCUGCUGUGCAACUAGGGUGAGGGUGUCAGCCAAGGCUCGCCAUCUCCAUGCUCUGCCUGGGACCAAGGUGGGGAGAGGGGUGUGCAGUAAACAGGGGGUCCUGCUUCUCCCUGCUCAGCACCUCAGAGGGACCUCAGGGGCAUUGGGUCGGGCUUCUUUGCCCUGUGUGGCAGCACACCACAGGAGAUGCACCCCUCUCAGUGGGCAGCCUAGGGCCACGCACUCACCCCUGCGUCUUAGGAGAAGUGCACUGUGCCCCACCCUCACAGAGGACCCUGCCUCUCUGACCAGCAUUGGUGUCCCAGCCUGGCAGGGACGCUUGCUGUUUUUCUCUGCCAAGACAGCUCUUCUCUUUGAAGAAUUAAGUGUCCCUUCCCCAUCAUAUAUGUCCCCUGUUGGGAGGUGAGGAAUGGCUUCACCUACCCCAAACCAGGGUGGUCUCAUGACCAGGCUCAGCCUAUCAGAAUGCCCCAGCCCCAGGAUUCUCAUGUGUAUGAACAUGCAAGCAAGGUCACUCAGAGCCCUUUCCAGAAUGGAUGUGCACAAAUUAGGAGAGAAAAAUGCCUUUCCCCCGGGGGUUGCCAGGGAGCUAACUAGACGUGGCUAUGACAGGCGAAUAUGUCUGCCAGCCGCUCCCCAUUCCGUGGCCCUGGUUUUCUCUCCUUUAAGACAGAGCCAUGACUGUGGGUGGCGGAAUCUGUGGAGUGAGCUGUAAUCUGGCCAUCCAUCCCUGCAGCUGUGGGCAGUAAACCAGGGUUGAUGCAGCAUUCGAAGCACUUAAAAACAAUGGGCCAGAUGUUCACUUAGAAACAUGGAUGGAUCUUAAAACCGUAACCCUGAGAGCUCACCAAAUAACAUUAAAUAUAAAUGGAGUAGUUAGACAAGAUAGCCUUCAAGGUCCCUUCCAGUCCUGUGUUUGUGAACGGUAGUGUGGAUCACAGAGGUUAGAACUAUGAACUUUGUGAUCUGUUUGCCAAGGCCCCAUCCCUCUUUGGUUGUGGGUACCUUCUGAGGUGUUAGCUCUGUCUCUUCCAGGUUGUGGGCCUCAUGCAAAAUCUCAGGUGUUCAGAGGACACAGGACUUGGUUUCAAAUCCCAGAUUUGCCAUGUACUAAUUGCAGGGACCUUGGGUGAGUCACUUAAGUUCUCUGAGCCUCCAUUACCUAGCCUGAAAAACAAGGAUAAUAAUCCCUAUAGAGUGUACUGGAGAGUGUAAGAGCUCAAGAAAUGUUGGGCAGUUCUCUUGCACUGGGUUGGCAGCAUUUCUCUGGGGCGGGAGGAAGAUAGACUGUUGCGGGCUUUGCCAAUGUGGAAAAGCCCAGUAGGGAGUAGAGAUGUGGAUAUUGUCUUAAAGGGAAGUGGUGCCCUCCACAGCUUGCCUGGUGUCGCCAGGUGUCCUUCAGGCUCCCAUGGCCCUGGGUCAACCUCGCAUCUGAGAUGGGGCUCUCACCACGCCAGGCUGAGGCUGGCCAGGCACAGGAGGUAGGUCAGGCCCGUUUUCCAGAACAGCUCUCCCUCCUCCCCCAAGGGCGUUCAUCUCCUGAGGUUGGUCUAAUUCAGGACCUCAGAUGCAGCCCUCUUUUUCCUUCCUCUUGUCACCCCUCCAGCUAUCAGAUCACAAGUAACCCAGAGAACACGUGACUGAGCCCCUGUGAUGUGCUGAGCAUAUAGCUCGGCAUGAUACCGUGCUCUCCUCAUUGGGGUGCAGUGAACACAGGGCUGGCCCUGGUGGGCUCAGCAUCUAGGGGGAGACAGGCAGACUUCAUGGGCACCUACACCUGCACCCGUGUGCAGAGUGCUGAAAUGGGGAAGCGGAAGUGCCACAGGAAUGUGAGGAAGGCCGCCUGACACACUUGGGGCGGGCUUGGGACCUUGGGAAGGCUGCCAGCCCAAAUGGCUAGCUGAAGAGUGAGCCAAGGGUGGGCUGAGGGGGAAUGAGGGAGGCAGGAAAGGGGGAUACACAGGACUGAGUGUACAGGCAGAUGGAACAGAGACAAGAGAGUGCUCAGGGCUCCCGAGGGUCCAGGGGAAUGUGAAGGGAGAAGUGGCCGGAGCCGUGGCCAGGCCAUGUGCUGGGCUUGGGAAGCCGUGUCGAGAAGCCAGGGUUUGGUCUUGAGGUUGUGUGGAUCUCGGAAGAGCUUUAAGCCAGAGAGUCUCAGGGAUCGAUUUCUGUCUUAGAAAGACAACUCUGGCUGCUGCAGAAACAUUGGUUUUGAAGGGGAGAGGGCAGAAGGGAGGAAACCUGGUAGGAGGUUGUCUCAGUCAUCCAGGUAAGAGUGGCACCAUGGAGGGCAGGGAGGGAGAUGCUGGACAAUAGGGAGGGGAAUGCUGAGGUGGUAGAUUGGGAGAGGGAGGUCCAGGGGAGUCCAAGGUGUCUUGCCUUGUCCUUUGGGUGGUGGGAAGCUGGGAGGAAAAUAGAUUCUUGGGGAAGGCAAGCCUGGUAGAACGUCGGUGGGCACCACGAAGGCUGUCCUGAUACCCCUUCAGUGCAGGGCCUGUUCCCAGAUGCAGGGAGUGCUGUGGGCAGGCAGCCUCCAGGGGUCAGCUCCUUUAGGGACUGCCUUGCCCAAGGUCUUGCCCCUUUCCAAGGCACCCUCUCCUUCGAUUUUGGUGUAUGAACUCCUGGCCACCGUUCCCAACUCAGGACAGCUCUGAAGGGCCAUUUUACCUUCAGUGCUUCUGUGGCAUAGGCUGGGGCUCUCUUUGGACCUGAUUGCUGGUCAGCAUCUCCCUCUGCCCCCUCCCUUCCACAGGUGACCAUCCCAAGGGCUCUCCUUGGAGGAGAGGCCCUAAAUAUCCUUCUAACUCACUAAACUCCAACUCAGAGUCUGGUUCCCAAUGACCCCCAAGGAAUCAUACCUCUUGUGUCCACACUCCUUUGCAGUGACAUGCAGAGAUGAAGUCUAUUUCUCCACCCCUUGAAUCUGAGCUGGCCUCAUGCCUUGUCUUGCUUUGACAAGGAGAAUGUGUAGAAGUGACUUUCUGGGACUCCAAAGUCCAGACUCAAGUGGACUUGCAAGUUUCACUUUUGCUCUUGGAACCCAGCUGCCACGUAAAAAGUCCAGGCUGUCCUGUUGGAGGAAGACUGUGUGGAGGAGAACUGAGGCCCCCAGCCGACAGCAGACAGCAUGACCCCAGACAUCUCCCUGCCAGGUCCCGCUGAUAAGGAACACUAAGGGAGACCGGAAGACAGGAGGAUGGAGAAGGGUCAUACUCCUGUGUAUUUGCUGUUGCUGUCAGCGUUACCCUGGCAGCAGAGUUGGGUCCAGUUUCCAGUGUUUCUCUAUGAUCCCGCAAUCGACCCAUCACACCCCAUCAGAGGUAACUUAGACCUUCCCUCUGGGCUCUCGUGGUUCAAUGGCAUUAGCUCACGCCCCCUCCUCAGAGAUUUGAGUCCCAGCUCUGUGAGACCCCUCUUCCAGGGUGCUGAGUUCUGAUCUCUUCCCUUUGUUCUCCCGGUCCUAGGAGUGGUAGCUGUUUCCUGCAGUUACAUGUUUGCAUGACAUCAGUGUUCUUUUUCUGCCUUUUCAGUCCUUUGAUAGCCGUCCAGCCAAUUCCCUCUAUUAAAUCCUCUCAUUGGCUGCUAAUAGGUACGGGUUUUCUCUUUGGUGUGAUGAAAAUUUUCUGGAAUUAGUGGUGAUGGUUGCACAACCUUGUGAAUAUGCUAAAACCCACUGAAUUGUACACUUUAAAAGGGGGAAUUUUAUGACAUGUGAAGGAUACCUCUUUAAUAUUAUAAAUACUUUAUGUUGAAUUACCUGACUGGAAACUGAUUAAUAGAGCAUUAAUCAAGGAGAGCGUGGUGUCUAAUUUUAUGUGUCAACUUGGCUGGGCCACAGUACCCAGAUCUGUGGUCAGACGUUAUUCUGAGCGUUUCUGUAGGGGUGUUUUGGAUGAGAUUAACAUUUAAAUCGGUGGACUUGGAGUAAAAUAGAUUGCCCUCCAAAAUGUGGGUAGGCCCAUCCAGUCGGGUGAAGGCCUGCACAGAAUAAAAAGACAAGUCUUCCCCAAGCAAGGGAGAAUUCUCCAGCACACUGCCUUUGGACUUCAUCUGCCCAUCUCUUCCCAUUUCUACAUCAGACAGCCUUCGGACCUGAACUAGAACAUCUGCUCUCCUGGGUCUCCAGCCUGCCAGUCCAGCCUGCAGAUUUUGGACUUGCCAGCCUCCAGAAUUAUUAAAAUGGCACCGGCUAUGAACCAGGAAAGGGCCCUCACCAGACCAUGUUGGUGCCUUGAUCUUGGACUUUGCAGCCUCCGAAACGGUCAUAGGAAAAGCCCAAGACAAGCGUUUUUGAAGACCCCAGGGACCAACACUUGAAUAACCUCCCAGAACUUAUUAAAAAUGCAGAUCCCAGGCCCCUCUUCCAGGAAUUCCGAUCCAGCAGCUACUAUUCAUUAAGCACUUCCUAGGUACUAGGCAAGGACGGAUGUGCUGGAGCGAGGAUUCAGCCUUCUCCAAGUUGCAGUUAAAGGGAAAACUGACCGGAGGGAUAUGGUGGUUGGUCUGGCAUUGAGUGUGCUGGGCUCCACAUGGUGGUUCCAGAUCCAGGAGACUGCUGAGAUCUUGGGAAGUGUGGCAGCCUCCAGCCAGACCAUAUUUCCCUACCUGAAUGAGCUGUUACCCAAGGCAGUAAAGAUCCUUUGCCCUCCUCCAUGUCUCCAUUUCUGGUCACUGCAUAAGACAUCCCUUCCUGGGCUGAUGGCUACCAGCUCUGGCUCAACCUGUAAUGCUGUCCACUCUAAAUGAUCCGGUGGAAGCAGCUUGGCAUGCUGUCUGGCUUUCAUUUUGUGGUCAAGUCCAAAAGCUCCAAAUAUAUGUGACCCUGAGAUGAUAAAAGAAGAUCAAAGGUUUCCUGGCAGGCAGGCCUGAAGAUUGCCUUCUUAAGUCCCUGCAUCUGAGUGACCACUAAGGCAGAAGGUGAGAGCAGCCUUCUAAUUCAGCCUGCGGUUUGCACACCCCCGAGGCUUUACUCUGGGAUUUUGACACCUCACUUGGGAGCCUGCAGCAGGAGGUCCAGCCCUCUGGGAGGCUGGCAAACCACCACAAUGGCUUGUCUCCCUGCUGAGGGUCAUAGCAUCAGCCCAAAGGCUGGACAAAGCUCCUAGAGCGGCUCCCAUGGCAAACAUCAAGGGGGGAGUUUACAAUCCCUCGUAGGGGCCUGGUUGAGCUCUCUGGGAAGCCCUGGGCCAUCCACCCAGAGGCUCUUCCCUCCUGCCUCUCUCUCCUCCCCUUUCACUUUCCCCCCUCUCCCCAUCCUUUUCUUUGGCCUUUGACUAUGAUUUUCUUUGAAGGAAGAAAUUGUUUUGCCCCAGGAAACUCAUUUAUAGCAAAAUAAGUGAAAGGUCUGGGCAUCUUGCCCCACAUGGGGCUCGUUUUCAGGUUAUUGCCUUAGCGUGCCUUCAUAUGGCUCUCUGGAGCUUGGAACCUCUCCCUGCCAACAUUACACCUGGAUUCAACUGGAGGGGAAAGGACUUCAGCUUUUCAUCUUCUGGGCCUCUUUGUUAUUACUGGAGCCAAGUUUUGGCCUGGGAUCAGAUAGGGGUGAGGGGUCUGGGAACUGGAUCUGGAAAAUGUCCCGGAGGCCGGGGAAAAGAAAGCUUCCCAGAGCCUUGGAGCGGCUGCCCCUCCUGGCUGGGGUGUGGCUGACCUGCAGCCAGACCAGCCUGGCGAAGGAUGGAGCCUCUGGCCUUAGGGUCGUUGCUGAUUUUGGAUGCACGAGAAAAGACCUUCUUAGGCCUCUUGAGAUGAGGAAUUUUACGUGAUUUGGCUUAAGGGAGAGAUGCAUAAAGAUGUGAAAAAGCAAAAGGGUUAAGCUGGGAGAGAACCAUAUGCUAAAUUUCCUGAGUAGAGAGAUUGCUUUUGGGGAUAGUUUAUAGGUUAGUGGUUAAUAUUUCCUUAAAAGCUGGAUUAUUUCUAUCCCUUAUUUAUUAUUUUUUUAAUGUUGCUUUGAGAAAAACCAAAUUAUCCUUUCUCAUGCCUAAGAGGAUUUUGUCUAUCGUAUGUUUCGGGAUCUUUAUGGUGUGCAUAUCUAGCAAAAACCAUUUCCCAUAAAAAUACUAAGGGAGGGCAUUUCAAUGGAAUUUUAAGCUUAUUUAAAAUUAAUUGCAGAUUCAUUUCACUGCACAUUCGUUGAGGGUUUUUCUUUUUUCAUUAUUAAUAUGAAGAAAUGGUGAGAGCUCUGCCAAAAGUCUGAGAGGAGAAAGUGCUGCUAUAAAAGUUUUCUAGAAGCAGCAGGCAGACAUCUGCCUAAGGUAUGCAUUCUUGGGCUAACCAGGCUUUGGCCUGUCUCUGAUUAAAGGGAGCCCACGGGCUCCAUUGAGAGCCUGACUCGCGGGGCCUCCAUCCUGCUUCCUGCUUCCCUCUCAUCUCCUCUCCUGCCUGGGCAGCAAACAGCAUCACAUAGAGGAUACAAAUGGCAGGUUCGGGGUCGUGAAGAAUUCAAAGAUGGCAGAAAGCAGAGACUGGAUGGCAGAAGAGUGGCAUGCCCGAGGGUGCAGGUGAGAGUGGGAAACAGAUUCUUCACGGAUUGUCACAAGGCAAAAGUCACAUUGGCCCCUUAGCUCUGUGCUGAGUGUACCUGGGAACUUGGAAGGCUACCUACCAGCAGAAACGAGUUGGUCAUUUGUGUUAGGCAGUCACUCGAAGGUCUCUGUGAGGAGACCAUUGUAACUCAAUUUAGUUUCCUUGAACUGCUGAGGCCCCAAAGAUGUAUGCAUUGGAAUUUGGUCUUGAUAAGUCUAUGGGUCCUGGAGAUGAACAAAAGGCCUUGGUGGGCAUCCAAUUCACCUGCUUAUUUUACACUGGGAACUUGAAUGGGGUGAGGGACUUUCCCAAGGUCACAUCGCUGUCUGGGGAAGAACCAGGGUUAGGACCCUGGCUCCUGAUUCCUAGUCAAGUGUGCUCCAUUCCACAUUGAUGCCAUGGGGAAAUAAUCUCUUAAACUGGAGAGCAGAGAUACUGGGAGAAACUGGGAAAGGUUGAGGAGAAGGCACGGCCCCUUCCCAUGGGAAACUUUCAGUGUCGGGUAGUACCCAAGACUGGUCAGGUGAGAAGACUGUGUUUAUUUUUCUGCUUUUCCAUGAUUGGUUUAGGGACCAGUUUUCUUAUUAUUAAGCUGUAAAAUAAUCGGGCACUUAUCACUGGCCAAGAUGAUUAUGUGGACUUGUGAGCGUGUCAUUUAGAUCUCUCAGUUCUGCGACCAGUGCUGUCACGAUCACCACUUUGUAGAGGAGACCAAGGAUGUGAUCUGAGAGGGUCCACACCUACUACCAUCCCGUGGUUCCUGCCUUACAUAAGUCCCCACUCUACCUAGGCGACCACAGAGGCAUUUCAGCUCCCCUGCUCUCAGUGUCAGCUCAGAUCCUGUGUCCAAGAUUCCUUGAAAAGUCUUUUCCCUGCACAGUUACCAUAGGAACUGACUGCAGGACUCUUUGGGAAGGGAUCAGAAAAUGGUUUAUCAUAUAUACUUGGGAUCAUAGUACUGGGUCCUUUCUCAAGGAGAUCUGGCCUCCUCUUCAAUCCAUGGGCCCCAGGUCUGUGAUCUGACUUAGAUCUGGAAACUGUAUGCAGAACCACGGCAUUCCAGUGUGGCAGCUUCUGCUUGCUAGCUCUUAGUAUUUUGUUUUUCAGGGGUUUUUGUUGUUGUUGUUAUACACAUCAAAUAACACCCUAGUCCACUGUCUAUCUAUCAUGCCCCUCAGAACAGCAUGACCAAUUAGCAGUCACCAAGAUCCCGACAGGUCAAGGUGGCUUGAUUGCCACUCCAGCCUUGCUGCCUAUUAUAGUAAUUAUGUCCACCUUGCUGCUGCUGAUUGAAUGCUCUCCUUAGCAUCAGCCUGUCUGGAAUCCUGUCAUCUCCACAAGGAUUCUAGGGAUCCCAGGUCCAUGGCAGCAUCUGCUACUUUCAACCCUGUCCUGCAGAGAAUUGCCCCCACCACCAAUGAGCUUCUAAAAGAUGCUGGAGAACCCCUUUCCAGUGCCAUCUUUAUUGCCUUAUAAUGAGGGGAGGUUCUGGUUGCUUUGAGGAAACAAAGUGAACUCUGUGCUUUCAUAUAAUACAUGCAUUCUAACAUCCCCACCUUCCUGAGAAUUCUACUCCUUCCUCAAUAUCACGCCAAACAUUCCAGCAUCUCCACCUCCUGGGCCAUAGGCCAUCAAUGAGUCCAGCCUUGAAUAAGGCCUCAGCAGUAUCUUAGGGCUGGCUCCAAAGCUCUUGCCAAGACACUUACUCUGAGUUAUGACAUGUUCCCAUGUCAAUAAAUAAAAAAGAUAUUCAACCUUAUCUUUAGCUAAGUAGAGUGAGCCCAAACUCUCAAGAUCCACUCCCGCACAUGGUCUCAUGAUUCUUGCAGGUGUUCAGCAGCAAGGUGCUGCCAUUCCUCCAAUGCGUAAGCAGUUUCCUCCCAGAGGAGGGACUGUUUUCUCUUCUUGGGCUGUGCUGAAUCCUGACCCUGGUUAUUGGCCUAAGGCAACAAGUAAUGGUACGGGAAGAUCUUGAGAAAGCCAAGAAUCAUUUUGGGAGAUGUCUGUCUCAGGUAAGGUUUAUCCAUGGUCUUCAGGCCUCAGGAGGCCACUCUUCUCUAGCAAAGAGAAGGGAGCUUCUUCUGCCCUGAGGACUUAGGGCAUCUGGGGUUCAACAUUCUCAGGCUUGUUCACCCAAUGUCGUCUCUUCCAUAUCUCAGGGUCCCACUCUUGCUAUGAAGGCUUUGACUUUGAUAUGGGAAAAUUGUCUUCUUGGUAGCAUUGCCACAUUUACUAUUAGAUCUGGGACUUGAGUUUUAGCCCAGGAGUCCUUCCUUGUGCGUAAAAGAGAUGAGGGUCUCCACAGAGACCCUCACAGUGACUUUCACAGUGAACUUUGAGUUGAUUGCUACCUGAUCUGGGCCUGUCAUUUUCUUUCCCUUCCUUUUCUUUUAAAAAAUAGACUUUAAUUUUUAGAGAAGUUUUGGAGUCACAGUAAAACUGAGCAGAAAAUACAGAUAGAUAGUUCCCAGAUAUCCUCUACACCUACCCCCAGCACACACAUAGCCUCCCCCACAAUCAAUAUCCCACGCCAGAGUGGUACAUUUGUAGAGUACAAAAUAAGAUAGGUAAAAUGAAUUAAAAUAUGUCAAAUAUCACAAUAAAUAUAAAGUAGCUUAAAACCUCUUGGUAAAAGACAAAGAUUUUUAGUUAUUUCUUAAAUAUGCAAAAUUUAUGUGCCGUCUACAAGAGACAUACCUAAAACAUAAGGAUACACAAAAGCUGAAUGUAAAAGCAUGGAAAAUACUAAGCCAAAGAAAAGAAAUGGUGUGGUGAUAUUACUGUCAGACAAAAUAGUAUUUAAGGAAAACAGUGUAACUCACAGAAGCAGAGUAUCACAUAAUGAUAGAACAUUCUUCACCAGAAAGAUGUAACAAUUCCAAGUGACAUGAACGCCCCCCCAAAAAAAGUCUUAAAAUAUGUAAGGCAAAAAUUGACAGAAUCCACAAAUUUAUGAUCAAAGUAGAUUUUUAACAUCCCUCUGUUAUUAACUGAUUUUUCUAGUAGAUAAAAAAUUAACAAAGAUAUAGAAUAUUUGAACAACACAAAUUUUGACCUAAUAGAAAAGUAAUGACUUUUGCACACAAAAAGAGAACACACAUUCUUUUCAAAUACACAUAGAACAUUUAUGAAAAUUAAUUAUAAGAAAGGCCAUGGAGUAAGCCUCAUAAAUUUCAAAAGGAUUAUUGUCAUACAAACUACAUUAUCUAAUCACAAUGUAAUUAAGUAUUAAAUCAACAAUCAUAAUGGCAAGAAACUACAACCCCCCCCCAUUAUUUUGGAAGUUAAAAAAAGAAACACUUCUCCAUAACUCAUGGGUUAAAGAAAUCAUAAAUUAGAAAAUACUUAGAAUUGAACACUAAUGAAAAUAUUACAUAGCAAAACAUGAUGAUGCAGCCAAAGCAAUAUGUAUAGGGAAGUUUAUAGCCUUAAAAAUACUUAUACUAGAAAUGAAGAAAGCCUAAGAAUUAAUGAGCCAAGCAUCAAACUUAAGAAGUUAGAAUAAACGCAGAAAGUAUAGGAAAGUGAUAAUAAAGAUAAGCAAAGAAAGAGAAAAGAAACAUAAACUGGAGGUAAUUUUUUAAAAUCCCCCAAAUAAGUGUUUUGAAAAGAUUAAUAAAAUAAACAUUUGUCAAGAUCAAUCAAGAAAAAAGGGCACAGUCUAAGGAAUGGAAAAAUAUCCCCAAUAUAUAAAGGGGUCUCAUAUCAUUCUUAGUUUUUUAAAGAUGAGAUUUAAAGUUCCUUCUAACUUCAUUCUAAGUUCUUCAUGGGAAACCUGAGCCCAGAGACCGAGUGUGACUUGCACAGGGACAGACAGUUGAUGGGCCUCUCUGCCAUCUGCCUUUUACCUGUCUGAUCUUAGCACCAAUCUUUUCUUUUAUGUGGCCUGACAUUUUUCACAGGAGAAUUAUUCCUUUGAGUUAGAGGCCAUGGCACCUCUUAAAAUAGGUGGUUGAGUAUUGCAGCGUGUGUAUCUCAGGGCUCCCUUCAAUCAAUUCAACCCACUAUGGAGCCCCUAUAUUGUGUGAAACAUGAUGGAAAGAUAAAUGUAGUGAGAGUGAAAAAUUAGUGCUCUUAACCUCUACUAACAGAAUUCAGCUUAGAGAGGAAAAAUAGCUUUGGAAUAAUAGCUUGGUAAGCCACUGGGACAGAAGGUGAGGGUGCUCAUAGGAGUCCAAGCCACAGAGGUGAUAGUUAAGUUGCUGUGAGUGAGAACGUGGAAGAAUUCGUUUUUGCUCAUUCGAGGGCUGGGGAGAGAAGAUCAGAGGAGAGAGAAAGAGGGGAGAGGAGGCAAGAGGGUGUGAAGCUGGGGACUACACGAAUGGAUGUGAUCAGAAUAUGUUCCCUAGGGGUGCGGAGUGGCUGAAGGACUUCUAAGAAUGAGGCUUGCUACUCUUUAGUCUGAAUAAAUGUGAGAUGCUACAAUGUAGCCUGUCUGUGUCUUUACUGAAAAUAUUUUCACUUAACCUAAUUCCCACUGUGAAAUUGCGAAAAUGGAGGGCUGUGGCUUGUCACUUCAGGCUCCAGGAUGAAAAAGAAAAAUGAGUAGGAGCUGAAUUUCAGUGGCGAUAAUGAGAAUGUGAGCCCAUUCUCUUGGGUGAGGAAAUAGUUUGUAUCAGUUAUGAUUGCAUUCAGCUGCAAGUUAGAGAAAACCCUCCAAAGAGGGGUUUAAACAAGGAGUUGGUACAGUGUCUCAAGGUUAUCAUGGAGGACCCAGGUUCCUUCUAUCUUACUGCUCUACUUGUGUGGCUUCAGUCCUCAUGGUUGCAUGGUAGCUGCUCUCCUGCAGACAUCUUGCCCAUGUUCCAGGAAAGGAAAAAGGGAAGGAAAAAAGGUCAGAUGCAUGAAUCUGUCCUCUUUUGAAAAGCUGUCCUAGAAGCCCCAUCCAGUGACUUCUGCCUGGGACGUGUCACAUGGUCACACUUAGCUGCAAGAGAGUCUGGGAAGGAGACUAUUUCAGUCGGGCAUAUUGCCUCCCUGAACAAAAUCAGGGUUCUGUCAUUAAGGAGGGCUCAGAAAAUGGCUAUUAGGUAGGCAAUUAGCCAUGUCCUCCACGAGGCUCAUCUAAACUAGAGCUAAAUGGGCUGGGAGAUCCCAGGAGCCACCUGGUUAUUUGGAGAUGAAUAAGACAGCCUCUGAGGAGUUCACGAUUUAGAGGGGGAAGACAGACACCUAACUGGAACAACAAGAACACUGAAUGACAUUUUAACAUCACAUGGUUAGGGGAGGUGGUAGAAGUAAGUACUGGGGCUCUGAGCACAGAGACAAGAUAGCUUAGCUGGGGAGGGGGAGAAGGCCCAGAGCAGAAGUUAGUCACAUGGCUAUGGUGAGGGAGGGGGCCACUUUGGCAAAGGGGUCCCUGUAAGUGAAGUGGAGGGAUGCGGAGUGCUGGUGGUGGGGGGAAUCACAGGCAGGUUCACAUAGGGGACUCUCAAGUCUAAGGUGGGAAGGGACAGGACUGAAAUUGGAGACGGCAGCAGGAUCAGACAGUCAAGGGCUCUCUCUGCUAGUGUGUGGAUCUUUGCCUGCACCCUCAAGGCUCUUGGAAGCUACUGGAGUGUUGCACAGGGCAGUGACCUGGUCAGAACUGUGUUUUGGAUGGCCAUUCUGGCAGCCACAUUGUGGCAGGCAGGUUGCUCAAGCAGACGGCAGAGAAGUAGGCAGGAUGAAGGGGGAAAGGAGGGCUGUGCAGUGGGAGGGAUGGAGAGUAGAGGUGGUCUCUCAAAACUCUCAGAUGUAGGGGCAGAGCCCAUGCUGCCCCUCCCCAGGUCUGUCGUCCGGGGGAUGAGUUUGUGGUGGUGCCCUGUACUAAUCCAACCCAGGAGGAGGGUCAGGGAGUGGGACGGGGCUACUCUUCGUUGUGGUGUGUGGGCUUCUCAUUGCUGUGGCUUCUCUUGUUGCGGAACACUGGCUCUAGGUGCGUGGGCUUCAGUAGUUGUGGCACACGGGCUCAGUAGUUGUGGUUUGUGGGCUCAGUAGUUGUGGCACGUGGGCUUUGUUGCUCUGCGGCACGUGGGAUCUUCCCGGACUGGGGCUUGAACCCGUGUCACCUGCAUUGGCAGGGGGAUUCUUACCCACUGUGCCACCAGGGAUGCCCCUGGAAAGAGAACUUUAAUCAAGAUGUUUAGAUAUAAACAGAACUUCCCCUUUUUCAAAGUUGAGGAAAUAGCCCUGAGAGGGGUAAGUGAAUUAUCCAAGGUCACAGGACUGUUUACUGAAUUCCAGUUUCCUGACUCCUACGUCAGUGCUCGCUCAGCUCACGGACUGUGCCUUUCUGUCCGUCGUGUUGGCUUGACUGUCACCUUAGAAGGAAGGGGAGUCCUUGUCCUGGGGAGAUGGCAUCAGGAUUGCCGAGGGGGCUUUGAGGCUUAGCAGCAAUUAGAUUUGGCUGCACUGGUAAGCGCUGAGGGAGGUUGCAGGGAGGCAGAGGUGUCUCGGGAGGGGGAGUGGUGGGCAUGGAAGAGGGGUGUGGCAAGACUGGGGGAUAGGAGGCGAGGCACUGCCCAAGACCUAAGCUCAAUUGCUUGUGGUCCUCCCAGCAGCUCAGGAAGUUGGGUGAGUCCUCCAUCUGUGCACGGAGUGGCGCUCACAGGUGACCCAAGUUCAAGUUGUCCAUCUGGCCUCGAACCCAGAACCCCUUGAACCCUGUGCUUGUGAGACCGGCUGCUGUCUUGAGCCCUCACCAAGCCGGUUGGGCCUCUGGUCCCCGCUGAUCGACCAGACCCUCGGCUAGAAAGGGACCGGCGAUCGGUCCGCAGGUGGCGCUGCGCACCCGAGCAAAGACGCAGAGCGGCCUGCGGGGCCUGGGGGUGGGACUGUCUCCUCUGCCGGAGACCGCUCGGCCAACCGCAGCGCUUAGGCAGGAAUUAGAGGAGAGGGCGCCCGAAUGAAAGGGCUCCCAGACUUCAAAGGAAAUUCCCAGAAUUUCCAGAGCAGCGAGGACCGGCGAGCGCGUUCAUGACCGGAAGUGCAGACCUGAACACCUCGGCAGGAAGAGGGGGCCGCCGGGGUCUGUGGGCGCGUGGAGCCCCCGCCCCGCCAUCCCGGACCACCGCCCCCCCCCCCCCCCCCCGCUUUUCCGGGUGUGUGGUGGGGAACGCAGGGCUCUGCCAGGCGCCACCUCCCGCUGACCCGAACCCCCAAGGCCACGUUUCACGCGGAAUCUGCCCAGAUGACUCUCAUCAAAGGCCACAGCCACAAGGGAUCCCACCUAAGACAGACUUGCGAACGGGUUUAUAGCCAUGUUUUGCUGAAAAGCAUGCUGCAGGUAUCCAGAUGGGGUUUAUUUUGCUUGGGGGGGGAGGGUCAAAAGACACGUGGUCCCUUGCUAGCUGUGAUGUGGGCGCUAGCUCUCUAGGGACUCAGCUUUCUCAUCUGGUAAGUGAAGGGCUAGGGCUUGGCCUUUGAGCUCCGACCUUCUGAACUUCUGGGGGUGACUUGCUCACAACCCCACCUUCGCCACACAGUUGAGAUCAGGCCACUCGUUUCAGCAGGAGAUUGGGGUCACUUGUGAGUUUUUCUGGAAGUUAUUUCAGUUUAGCAUAAGGGAGGUAGAGAGGCUCCAAUGUCAGGCUUUAGCGGGCACAAGAUAAAAUUCAGACAUCCGGUGCGGUGCGGGGCCUCAGGGAGGAGGAAAGGGGAAUAUGGCACGGUGGGUGCUGGCUGGGAGCCAACAGAAUUAAAAACAACCGAAGGAGGGGCCGUAAAGGCUCUACCCUCUUGCUUGGCCCACCAUCCUGAGGUUUCUGGGGGACCCCCAGCUGCAAGCCCCUGAGCCUCCUUAGGACAGUCACCCCAUUGUAGUAAAUGCUGGGCACUAACCAGGUGGGAGGGGCCACCCUAUCACUCACACUGUGCAGUUUCUUGCCCACCCUGAGGUCCAGGGUGGAGGUAACUGAGUGAGUUACAGCUGAGCUUGGUCAUGGCAGCGCCCAGGUCACACAAGGUCAGGAGACUUUGGGAGGACUGAGAUAAAGUUGGGGCAGUGGAGGCUUGGAGGGCCAGCAUCAGGGUGGGGCUUCCCUCUUACCAGAAGAGCUGAGUCGAGAACCUGGCAUCUUCAGGGGCAGUGAGCUUCUGUCUGCUUGGAGGCUACAUCCUCAGACUCUCAUGCUCAUAAUCUACAUUAUACAUCAUUAUUAUUUCAGUUAUGAUUAGUAGCACCUCCCUUUUAUUGGGUGCUUCCUGCAGCGUCUACAUCAGUCUUCAUAACCGUCUGUGAGGUAGGUAGAGGCUCUUGUUAUUCCAUUUUGUGGAUAAGAAAACUGAGGCUUAGUGCAGAGUUAUGUUACCAGCUCCCCCACCCCAUGCGCAUCUGGACAGCACACCUAGAGCUCAUGCCGAGCUGGCAGUAGCCCUGGGAAGUCGGCAGGGCACUGUUGGGCUCCCGUUUAUGUACUGGGAAAAGUGUGCACCUGUGAGCCUGCAACCCACUGUAGGUAUCAAAGUCAGUGACCUGAAGCCAAGGUGGCAGCCCAGGCCUGGCAUCUCCUUGGGUCUCUCUCUGUGGGUCUUCGUCCUGCCCAGCUCAUCCACAUGGGUGUGUUGGGUGUUCAACCCAGGUGGUUGAAUUUCAGGCUAGUGGGGUUGGAGGACAGUUUAGUUUUGAAAAAGAUGAAGGAAAGGGCCUCUAGCAGGUGCUGGAACUGUAGUGCAGAACAUCAGGCAUCACCGGGGAGAGAGUGCGCUGACUACCCAUGCUGUCGGUGUGUAGGGCCAGUCAAGAGCCCCUGCGGCUUCACCUCAGCAUCCAUGGCCUUGCAUUGAUUUUACCCUCUGACCUGACGUGUCUUACGGAAUCUAGCCUGGGCUGUCCUCCAAACUCGGGUGUGAUCUGAAGGGACCCAGUAUAGAAGCCACAGUGAUCUAAGACCCCUCCCUCUCCAAGAAGCGAGUGGGGUGUGUGCUUGUGGGUGAGGAGCCAGGUCAGCGUGGCCUGAUGAAGACAUUUGCAGAAACCACUGACUCCUGGUCACCUCAUCUUCCCUUCUGCCAGCGCGUUAGAAGGAGGUCCCUGUGCUUGAGCUCAGAAAUCAGGUUGGGCCCCAGGGUAGGGUUGGAAUUCCACCCCAAGGAAAGGCUGAGAGAAUCUUCUUUUAAGACCUCAGCUGGGUGUGGUAUCAGUUAAGCCCAGCAUACACAAGGCUGGAAGCAAUUUCUCUGCCCAGCUUCUCACCCAUGGCAACUCUUUUCAAUCAUCCAUUUGAGCUGUUCUCCAAAUGUGGUUCUCCCUGUGGAGGGUGGACACUUGCCCCAGCUCCUUCGAAGCUUCGAGACCCCUCCUGACUCUACCAUUCUGGGCCUUGUCCAGAGUUUUUUGAAGAUAGUUUGUUUGGGAUUUAAUCUUUAAAAAAAAUUAUAUAAAAAUGUAUGUUUAUUAAAUAACAAGCUUUCAUGACAGGCUAAUAACUAUGGUAAAUUUUAGAUAUGAAUAUAAACUAUGUUUUGAGAUAUCUCUAACAACUAUCACAUGACAUGAAAAUAAUCUGAUUUCUAAUAGUAGCCACAGGCACUAUUAAUACUACUUUUUGGUUUUUUAAUAAUUAAAAAAAUUGAAGUGUAGUUAAUUUACAAUGUUGUGUUAGUUUCAGGUAUACAGCAAAGUGAUUCAGUUUUAUAUGUAUAUGUAUAUAUAUAUUUUUUCAGAUUGUUUUCCAUUAUAGGUUAUUACAACAUAUGGACUAUAGUUCUCUGUGCUGUACAGUAGGUCCUAAAAAACAGAUACUUCUAGGUUUUAGCCCAUACUAUCCUUAAAGGAUAAGGUGUUUUGGAUUUUCUCCCCUUGUUUAAAGUGUCCACAGGCCAAAUCCCCCAAGUAUAAUAUAUAAUACAUACAGUGCUCCCAUUAGGACGGGUGAGGCAGAUCCCUGGGGACCCACCUGGGCAGGUCUCCAGACAUGUUGUGAAUGAGGAAAGCAAAUUGUAGGUGGAGGAUACAGCUACUCACAGCCACAACAGCAAGCAAGGAAAUAAAACUCCCUCCAAAACAAUAUUAUGAGCUUGUUUUGGGCCCAUUAUGGGGACGUGUAAAUAAAUAGAAAGAGGCUAGGACGCAUUCUCAGGAAAAUGAGGGGUGGUCGUCUUUGGGGAGAGGAGAGGGAGGAGGUAGAACGGAGGUUGGUGCACGGGGACUUUGGCCUUAUCUGUAAUGUUUUAAAGUUUUAUGAGAAUUAGUUGUCUAAUUAAAAAUCGAUAUUUAAAAACUUUGCUCUUUCUGGUGGUUGCUGCAGACUACCUGUUUUAAGCUCCCAGCUGGCAUUCUGCACCGCGGGGGGCGGGCUUGUGGGCUCUCCAUCCUGGAAACCCAAACACGUGCAGAACGCCUUGCACACCAGGCGCUUUACCUGCGUGAGCUCAUGUGUCAUCAGCCAGCCCUGGGUGCCUGCAGCCCGAUCUCUGGAGCCUUUGAUCUGGUUCCUCUCAGCUCCUGCCCUUCCAGACUCUGGACCUAAUUUCUUCAGCGUCUCCACAGAUAGCAGCUCCUCUAGCCGGGCCGUGUUUUGUUGUUCUUCUCUGGCUGCCCUGACAAUCGUUCCCUUUCUCUCUCUGUCUCUGCCCCUUCUCUCUUCAUCGGCACAGUUCGUGACUGCCAGUGGGGGAAGACUAGGCAGGGAGGAAGGCGUUUUCAGUUUUGUUUCUAAUCUGCUUCCUGAAGCUGCCGCUGGGCUGGAUGUUACAGGAAUUUCUGGGGGCCCUUCUGGGCUCAGCGUGAUCCCCCAAAGACCUGAUUAUUGCGCCCUGUUCACUCACUUGUCCUUCAGGUAUUUAUGGGUCAUCUACCAUGUGCUUGGAGCUGUACUAAUCACAAAGUCUGCUGCUCUGUGGACUUGGAACCCAUCUACCUCCUCCCAUUCCUGCGGUCACUCCUCCAACCACGCCAUCGUCACCUCUCACUGGGAGCUUUGUCCCUCCACACAUUUCUCCUUCUUCCAGCCAGAGUGAGCUUUCUCAAUCCAAUCUGCUCAUGCCCCUCCUUUGCUGAAAACUCCCCAUGGCUUCCCAUUGGUCUAGGGUCAAGUCAAACACCUUGAUAUGGCCCACAGGGCUGAUGGGUGUAACCCCAGCUUACACCUUCAGCCCUCCUGAGCACUCGGGUCCCCACCCCCCAAGCUCUGGUCUCUGAGCCCUUAACACAGGCCUUUCCCUCUGCCUGCAACACUUCCCACUUCCUCAUUCUCCCUGGCUCAUUUCUACUUAAGCUUGAGGUCUUAACUUAGGCAGCACUUCUUCCUGGCAGAAGCAUCCCUGAACCUGAUCCUCCCACCUGAGUUCUCUGCAUCUUUCUCUCAGGCCGCUUUUCACACUCUGUAUAAUUGUAGCUUAAAUUUGUCUGUCUCUCCCACCAGACUCUAAUGUCAUGAAUAUAAUGUCUUGAAUAAUCACAAUGAUAACGCCUACAACAGAGUGAGCUCUUUCUUACCUUAACACGUGCCAGGCCCCAUGCUAAGCAUUUUCUGUGCCUCCCACCAUCUAAUUUUCACCUCCCUUUGAGGUGGGAACCAUCAUUAUCUCCAUCUUGGAGAAGGAAUUGAGCCCUACAUCAAAAAUGUGCCACAGUCAGCCAGUUAGUAGAUGGUGGAGCCAGGACUCACACCCCAGAGGUCUGAAUUCAGAGCCCACACCUCCCCGCACUGGGAAGGGCAGGGCUGUACCUGUCUGAUUCACGGUUAUAUCCCUAGCUCCUAACGCGUUGCCUGCCAUCUAGAAGGAACUCAAUAACUAUUUGUUGAAUGAAUAAAUAAAUCAAGAGAUGUUCGGCGAUGGGCAGCAAACAUAAUCCCUGCUAGGAUUAGUUCCCUUUAAAUGCAGUGAGGGGAAGCAGAGCUACAUUAUUGAGCCACACCAGAAAGCACUGGCAUACAUAACUAAGACAAUCUGAAGACUCUCUAGCCAGGCAGCCCCACUGUGGCUGUCUGCUGGGCUCGGCUGGGCUGCCAGGCCAAUGGGAUUUGAUAAGAUGGGGCUGGACACACAGAGAUGGUCCCGGAGUCUGGGGAGGGGCUGGGGACCCCCUGGACCUGGUCGGGAAAGGGCCGUUUUGGGAGUUUCAGGUUAGCAGAGACCCGAUAAGAUCUGAAAACAGCACUUACUGUGGGGAGAUUGACGGGGAGAAAAACAGUCCACAGGACUCGAAUUUAUUUUAUUCUGUCCAGAAUGGGAUUUCUGCUGAUGAUUUAAAUCGGUGGUUCUCAACCAGGAUAAUCUUGAUCCUCAAGGGAUAUUUGGCAAUAUCUGGAGACAUUUUUGGCUCUCACAGCUGGGGGGUGGGGAGUGGUCCUGGCACCUGGUGGGGAGAGACCAGGGAUGCUGCUAAACACCCCACAGUGCACAAGACAGCCCCACCAACCCCAACAAGAAAUGGAGAGGCUCCAAAUGGUGUGAGUGCCAAGGUUGAAAAGCCCAGAUUUAAACGAUGGAAUGGGUGAACCCGGGGAGUAAAUGACGUGUGUGGACGUGCCUCCUGUGCCGGCCUUGACUCCUAACAACGCGGGCCGUGGCGGGGGAGGGACUAGAGGUGACAGAUGCCCUUUCUACUCCCCCACUCUUUCCCCAACCCUGGAAAACAUUACCAAGGACUCAGCCCCUCUCUGCGGUUUCCCUCCCCUUCUCCCCAUUCCUCACAGUUCUGUUAUCGCUCCAGGAUCAAAAGUUUGAAACAUUUGGUGCCCAUAUUUGAGAAAAGUGAAGCGGCUGGGUCUCAGAUGUGAGCACGCUUGGCCCACUUCCCCCAGGGACUCUGAUGUAGGAGUGUUCACACUGCUCAUAACUUUGGGGGUCACUACCAGAAGGGAGCGGGAUGAGAACAGGAUGGGGAGGACAUUGGGCACUGUCACUGGGCUUUGCCCAGGCAGAGUGUGUGACGUGCUUUCCCAUGCCCCAGCUUCUGGUAGCCUGACCCCUUCCCCGCGGCCCGUGCAUAUUCACGCUGUAAGUGUGUCCUGAGCACUUCCUAUGUCCCGGAGACAUUGUCAGGGGCUGUUUGGUUAGCGGGAUGCUUCAACCUUCAAGGCGAGUAUAGUCCCUUAGGAGAGAAUAGGAUUCUCUGUCUCUUACUCUGUUAUUUCAGGUCCUACGAGAAGCAGACCCCAAGGUAGAAUUAGACGCGCAAACAGUUUACUGGGGGAAACACCUGUGGAGGAUGAGGGCCGAGGAGUAAGCGGGGGUGUGACACCUGUGAAAGGAGAGAGGGCAGGAACAGGGCUUGGACAGGAAGUGUCUCAGACCGCAGUGCAGCUCUGAGAAGGUGUCAUUUGCUGGUUAGAGCCCGCAUCCUGCAUGAAUGGUACCAGUACCUACUGUGCCCAGCUACUGGCUCCUUCCCACCCUUGACCCUUGGCAUUGCUUCUGUGGCCUUUUCAGACACCUCUGCAGGAACCCUGGACCACUCCUCCUCCUUUCUCAGAAAGCAAGAAAACGACGGAAGCCCAAACUCCUGCCUUGGGGCUGUCCAGGCCCCCAAGUCUGGCUCCACGGCCGCCAUCCGUCCUUAGUCCUUUCCCUGCCGCUGGCCAGUCACCCUGCCCAGGUGGCUGGGAUCUGUUGCCCGCUUAACCAGGCUGCUUUCAAAGCCCGCUUUUGCCCAUCUGCUCAAGUCAUCCUCCCGCCCAAGAGUGACUUUUCUUUUCCUUUAGUCAAAACUAAAUCUACCCAUUGCCUGGCCUGAGCCGACUCCCACUCCUCCCAAGAUUUCUUCAACCCCCACUGGAAUUUCUGUUUUAUUCAGAAGCACUGAGGAGUUCCCUGGUGGUCCAAUGGUUAGGACUCAGCACUUUCACCGCCAUGGCCCGGGUUCCAUCCCUGGUCUGGGGACUAAGAUCCCGCGAGCAGCACGGCGCAAAAGAAAAAAAAAAAACACAGCCAUAAAUGAACACCUCGUUGCUUUCCAGUUGUCUCAGCUGUUAUGAUUGUAUUUCUUUCCUUUUGUAAAAAAUUUUUUAUUUAUUCAUUUAUUUUUGGCUGCAUUGGGUCUUCAUUGCUGCGAGCAGGCUUUCUCUAGUUGCAGUGAGCGGGGGCUACUCUUCAUUGAGGUGCGCAGGCUUCUCAUUGCAGUGGCUUCUCUUGUUGCAGAGCACGGGCUCUAGGCACAUGGGCUUCAGUAGUUGUGGCGUGUGGGCUUCAGUAGUUGUGGCUUGCAGGCGCUAGAGCGCAGGCUCAGUAGUUGUGACCCACAGUCUUAGUUGCUCCGCGGCAUGUGGGAUCUUCCCGGACCAGGGCUUGAACGCGUGUCCCCUGCAUUGGCAGGCGGAUUCUUAACCACUGUGCCACCAGGGGAGUCCCUAUGAUUUUAUUUCUUAAACUAGCUUCCAGGACAGCUAAGGACACGAUGAAUCAGUUCUCUGUCCACCAUCUCUUCUUCUUUCCUUCUCAUCCUUCCUUCCUUCCAUUUAUCAAGUAUCACGUUUGUCAGUAGAAACUUGGUCACCUUCAAGGUCCCAGCUGGGCCCCAAGUUGGCAAAGUUGGGGUAUGUUUUGGUCUCUAACUGGCCUGAUCUUGCCCCUUCUCUUCCCUCUCUGGGUCCUGGUGACCUCCAGCUCCCUUUUCUCUGGCCUCCCCAAAUUAACCAGUAUUCUCAGUGCCCAGAUUCAUACAGAGGAACCAGUUACUGGUUCCAAAAUGUAAUUUCUCCCUAGGGAAAUUUUUGACUAGGCCCCAGAGAGUUGAAGGGAUAAAAUUCUAAUGAAUUUGAUACAUGAACUGGACACUAUACUGUCCAGUACAGUAGGCACUAGCCAUGUGUGGCUAUUUAAAUUAAUUAAAAUUAAAAUAUAGUUCCUCAGUUAUAGUAGCCAUAUUUCACGUGUGGCUAACGGUGACUAUAUUGGCCUGCACGGUUAGAUUUCCAUCAUCACAGAAAGUUCUCUUGGACAAUGCUGAGAGAAGGAAAGGCAUUUUUAAAAAGCAGGUGUGAGGUAUAGCAGGAACUUUCUUCAGUCCUGAAUCAGCCCUGUUUAGGGGUUCUUGCCUUGCUAAGAGAAGAGCCAUGUCUUUAAGGCUUCCUUGUUGAGCUGCAAGGAGGCCUCUCUGAGCCAUUCCCAGUCACCAGAGAUGACCCUGCAGUGAGCACAGGCCUUGAGGUCACGGGAGCUGUGGUCCUGGGGGUAAUGAAUAGGCCCCUGGUCACCUCCCAGGCCUGGGUCCCUGCCCUCUGGCUCUGAGAUGCAUCUCUGGAUGGCCAGAUAUCUCUGGCCACUCCCAGCUACCCUCCACUGCCCGCAGGAAGGGGAGGCCUGUUCUGCAUCCGCAUCGGCCCGGGUGCAGAAUUCCUAAUGCACUGGAGAGUCGACAUUGGUAGCAGCAAUUGGUAUCAAUUAUUAAGCAGAAAGCCCAAGGAGAGUCUGUGGAGCAGUGGAGAGUGUGGGAGGGGAGGGGGAACAGAGAAUAGAACCUCAGGAACGGGGAGUGAAUGGUCCCCGCCCACUCCUGCCAAUCAGUAUUUGGGGUGAUUCUUCUCCUUUAAGUGGGCUUCCGACCAACCUGAAUGUGCUCGGGAGUUAGACACCAGGAUGCUGAGGGGACUUGAGGCCUGAGAUGAGCUGGGAAGGGGGCAGGGCAGUGUUCCUCCAGGUCUGCAGGGUGGUCAUCUAGAGCAGGGGCGGGCACACUUUUUAUGUAAAGGGCCAACUAUUUUAGGCUUUGUGGGCCUUACGGUUUCUGUCGCAAUUGCUCAACUCUGCUGUAGCACAGAAGCAGCUGGAGACAAUAUGUAAACAGAUGGGCGUGGAUGUACUGCAGUCAAAUGUUGUUUAUAGAGACAGGUGGCAGGCUGGUUUGGACCCUGCUCUUCAUCUAGGACCUCUGUCCUCCAAGUGUGAUCCUUGGACCAGCAGUGUCACCAUCACUUGGGAGCUUGUGAGUAACACAGAACCUCAGGCCCCACCCCAGAUCUCUAGAGACAGAUCUGCAUUUUAAUAAGUCCCCUGUGCCUAUGAAGUUUGAGGAAAGAGUUUAAAGUUAUUCUUGGCGGGGGGGGGGGAUCUGGUCAGAAUCAGGAACAAUGGGUAGAAAUGGCAGGAAGUGAAAUUUCAUUUCCACAUCAGGAUGUAAUUUCUGUCCAACAGAACUGUCCUCAAAGGCAACAAGAGGCUGUUUCUGGAGGUAGUGAGCACCCCAUCGCAGAGGUGUUCAAGGAAAGCUAGAUAACCACUUGCUCGGGAUGGUAGGGAGGACUUGGGCAGGAUAAAUAGCAUCAUGGCUAAGAGGCCUUGCUGGGAGGCAAGCUACCUGGGUUUGGAUAUUUCUUGGGCAAAAGGAUGUCUCCCCCAUCCUUAUUUCAGAUUCCCUGUCCAUCCAAUGGGGUAAUCAAAAACCUCACAGGGCUGUGUUGAGACUUCCUUCACUUAAAGUACUGCAACAGCCCUUGCUAUAUACACUAAGUGCUAAGUGUUACUGUAGGUUACUUAAUUCUGUAACAGCUAUCCAUAUUUUUGGCGGGACUGAGGACCAACCUUUGUAUCUAAGGUCUCGUCUGUCCAACUCUGAGAUUCGAGGUGGGGAAGAGGGAGGAUGUGGGGAGUAGCAAUCCUAGCCAGUGGUUUUUUUUUGGUAUUUGGUGUGAGCCAGGCAUUAUGCAAGCAUCGGUUAAUGGCUCUCAAAUUACUUUCAGAUACUUGUUGCCCUGGAAGAGCAGAUAGAUUAUAAUCUGUUGCUGCUCAAACACUCUGCGUGUUUCAGCUUUGGAAAAGUCAAAUCAAGCCCAGAGAUGAAGUGCUUGGUUUUGUCAUCAACAGAUUCACACGGUGUUGAGGGCCCAGAACUCCCUAGAGCUGGUCAAAGAGCCGCCUUGUUUGGACACAUCACCAGCUCAAGUCUCAAGAUGGCAGGGGGGCCAGAACACUUGACUGCAGAAAAGAAUUUAUCCUCCCAAACCAUGGCAUGAAUGAGUAAAGAUGUAAGUACAAGGGCAUUCAUUGUACCAUGGCUUACAAGAGCAAACAUUUGUACAAAUUUAAAUUUCCACGGCAGAACAUGGUAUAUCUGUGUAGUGGAAUCCUCUUCAACUCUUAACAAGAAGGUAGAUCCGUGUAGCAGGAGGUAACAUUUUUCUGAGUAUUUGCUAGGCACUGUUCUGAGUGCUUCCCAUCAUGACCUUGUUUAACUCACUCAGGUCUUCAUAAAGUAGAUGAUGUUGUCAUCAUCCACACGUUGCAGAAGAGGCACGGAGAGGUUCUUAACCUCCACAAGAUCACACAGCUGUGAAAAGUCAGAGCUGGUAUUUGAACCGGGCAGUGAGGCUUCUGAGACACCAACCAGGAAGGAGGGGUCACUGAUAAAAGUUGUGUUAAGUGAUAAAGCAAGUUGCAGAAAAAUAUAGCAUAACUACAUUUUGGUGAAAAUACAUGUGACUAUAUACAUAAUAUGUACUAUUUAUAUGUAUGUUGCAUUACAAUAAUUAUGGAAAGUUUAAUUUGGUGGGAGUGAUUGAAGGGGCAGAUUUAUUUUCUUCCGAAAAAACGGUGGGAUUAAAAAAAAAAAACUAGCUCCCUUCUGUUUUUAUUUUUAUUUUAUUACCCAUGCCCACUUGACUUGCAUGAAAUAAAAAUGGCCCAGUCUGGUAACAAAAAUACAUCCUUGAAAAAUAACAUAUCCUGUUCACACCAGUAAUGAAAAAUCCCAGUUUGGGAAAUACAGCUUUUGAUAGUUAUUAUUUAGCAGUAGAUAAAUUACUUUAAAUAAAGGCUUUAAAAAUGAUUUAAAAGGUAGUAUGUCAUCGUCGUAGAAAAGGUGGAAUUAUAGAGCUGAGAGAGUGAACUGGUCAUCUAGUGGGUUCCAGGAAGCUGGGACCUCCUGCUCUGUGGUCCCUGCUGCAUUUAUUUCUCUCUUUGUUUUCUUCCCAGCAUCCUGUUUCCAUGACAUCCUACUCCAAUCCCCCAAACCCAGAGCAAGCUUGGUCAGGGGUGGGGAGUCACCAUGCAGUUGAAGAGCCCUGACCCAACCAAGUGAUGUCACAGGAGCUGGUCCAGGAUGGAGAUCCUGUCCAUUUGCUGGUGGCCAGAGUCACAGGGUCACAAGACCUCCAGCUGCUUGACUCAAAAGGGCGCCCAGGGCACAGCAGGCACUUGGGCUGUGUGGUUCUGUCUGGGGUGAUUUUGCUUCCUGAGGACAUCUGGCAAUGUCUGGAGACACUUCUAGUUCUUACCACUGGGGAGUGGGUACUACUGGAAUCCAGGGAGGAGUGGGCAAGGAAGGCUGCUAAACAUACUAUAGACCAAGAAUUACCCAGCCCCAAAUCUCCAUAAGGCUGAGAUUUCAAAACCUGCCCGCCAUUAGAUCCCCUGGUCGGUCUUGCAGCAGGAGGGAUGGGGUCCUGAGGGUCCCACCUGUGGAAGUUCCUUGGCCGGUAUGCCCCUGUUCUAGAGGAGAGGCAGGUUUCUCCAAGGCCAGGUGGAGAGAACCAGCCCAGUCCACCCCAGGCGCUGCAUUUCCCAGGAGCUGGGAGGAAUUAAGUUAUAAUAUACGGACUAACAUUGAUACAGUGUGUGACAGGUGACAGAGUUCUUCCUCUGUGCUGGGGUUCAGUACAGGCUGGGGUCCUCUGCACUGCCGCCCAUAUUGUUGGGGUCCUGGACAGGUUGGGGGGAAGGGGAAAGGCUACAUCUGCUUCUCAUUCUUUCAUGAAACGAGUUCCUUGUCAUAAACUCCCCAGUCUCCCUUUGAUCACAACUCUGACGGUUCAAACCCUUCAUGUUAUUGCAGGUUCCACUUGUGGGUAGGAGGCCUUCCCCAGCAGAUGUGAAGGCAAACAUACUCUUUCUCCCCAUGCUGUGGUAUCCUGGAGACUGGUGAGCCAGAGCUAGGAUGCCAUGACAUCAGCUCCUGGACCUGAGCUGGCACAGAGCGUGCCCAGGCAGUGUUUGCCGAGAGGAUGAAUAGAAGAGGGUCACCUUCCUUUUGACUCCUUAGGGUGAGUCUUCAGCCUUCUUUGGAAGAAGAUUUGGAAGUGAGGAAGAGAAGGCUAUGGGUCAGGAAAGCAAUUGAGUGGCUCACAGAAUCCCGAGGAAGAAGAACACUCAGACCUUCUAAAGGCACAGGGACAAAAGGAAGAACCACAAGCAAAAUCACUCCCCAGGGCUUCCCUGGUGGCGCAGUGGUUGAGAGUCCGCCUGCCGAUGCAGGGGACACGGGUUUGUGCCCCGGUCCGGGAAGAUCCCACAUGCCGCGGAGCGACUGGGCCCGUGAGCCAUGGCCGCUGAGCCUGCGCGUCCGGAGCCUGUGCUCCGCAACGGGAGAGGCCGCAGAGGUGAGAGGCCCGCGUACCGCAAAAAAAAAAAAAAAAAAAAAUCACUCCCCAGAACUACUGCUGACGCCCUGACGGCUCCUGGGUGUCACCCAGUGUCACUGCGGCUGUACAGCUGGUGGACCCAGGUUGCUGCCCAGACCAGAAUCAGGGAGACCCGAUUCAUAGACCUGGCAGACCUCUGCUGGGAGACUUAGGGGGGGUGACAUGAGUCCUCAAAGGACCCACCAGCUGGCUAGGUGGGGUCAGCUAGAGACAGCUUUAGCAUUCUGGUUUAUUGCUGGAAAUAAAAGAGACAAUGAUGGUCAACUCUUGUGCUGGUUGGAUCCCACGUGUAGACAAGGAAUUUCAAACUCUAAUUUUACCCUGGAACACCAACAAUCCCUUCCCUAAAUUCCCCUAGAGAUGUUAGGGCAAUCUCUAACCUCUAGUAAGAUGGAUGGAUUAGCGAGACCUUCCUUGUGUCUCUAGUUCAUUGGGUACAGAGUCUUCUGGAGUGGGAGAGAGGAGAAGGGAAAAUCAAGGACAAAAGAUACUGUGAAAAAUGGAGAUACUGGAAUCUUCCAGCUGCAGAUCCCUAUUUGUUUGUUUUUGCUUUGGGCCAUGGGGCUUGGUUUCAAGCUGAGACCUUGGCCUUCAGGAGCAAGCUGCCGUGGUCCUCAAAGGCGGGGGGCAGUGAUGGUGGAGUAGGUGACAUCCCACUCACUCUCAGUGAGAGAGUCCCACCCUCUCACUGCAAGCAGGUUGCUAUAUUGUUACUGUGGCCAGUUAGAACCUGCUCUGGGAGGGGAAACUUCUAAAAUCCUGGGAAGUGAGUGUCUCAAGGUCUCAUCCUGGAAGAAUAGUCUGACCCUAGAAGAACAGGUGAGGGGUGAUCUCUCUAUUUCUCAGCCAACUUCUAGAAGAUGGCAGAGAGGGCCAGCAGUGAGUUUAGCCUCAUGGAAAUCACAGGCUUUGCAGCCUUUGGGAUACGUAGACUCUCUGGCUUCCUUCUUCUUUGUACCAGAAAACCAGACCUGCUUCCGCCAGGCUUGGGGCUGCAAGUGGAACCUCUGGGACCAGAGCUAAGAGGAGAGACAGCCUGAGACCCGUGGCCUCCUCAACACGGGGAGAAGUGGCUCCUGACCAGUGAGAACUGGCUGUGCCUGGGAUGGGGUGUGUGUGUGUGUGUGUGUGUGUGUGUGUGUGCACGUGCACCUAUAUAAACGUGUGUGUGUGUUUUAUUCAGGGGCAGAGUGGAGGCUGAUCCCCCUGAAUGCCUCCUCUUCACAUCCUCCAAGGGAGAAGGGCCAUUCUCCUUGACUCCUGGGAGCUGCAGAAUAUUGGAGAGAACACGUCUGCCCAGAACAAAGCAAAACCCUCAAAGGUUCUUUCCUAUCUCUGAUUCUAGAAAAUUACCUGCCCUUUCAUCCACUUCUCACAUUCACGGCCUGUCUGUGUCACUGUCAUUUUCCACCUCCUGGCAUCUCAGCGCUCAUCCUUUCUCUUUUGUCUCUCCGUCUGUCCAGGCUGGUUUGCAUCUCUUUGUCUUUGCAGGGUCUGCAUCCCUGCCUCUGUCUGUCCCUCCCUCCGCCUUGGCUGGCUUCUCUCUCAGCUGUCGCUUUUCUCUCCUCUCCUCCUGGCUAGCGCUGAGCAAGUGGCUGUCGGCCGUCCCUCGCUAGAGCCGAAUCCCAGAGAAAACCAGUGUUGGAGCUGAUGAGUGAUUUUGGCUCCCUGUCUGAUUUCCCUCCAGCUUGGUUUUGAAGCUCUGUGCAGCCCUGGGACGUCUGGAGGCCGGCUGGGCCGCAUUGGGCUCUGCCGCUAAGGGCCCCCAGCCUUGGCACCCGAGGUUCCACCCCUUCUCCUGACUUGGAGUGAUCCCGUCGUCCUGUCUUACAAAUUGGGAUCGCCUCCCUGCAUGUGGGCUUUGGUGACAGCCACCAGAUGGCAGGGACUGGUUUUUAUAGUAACUCAUUAACCUCUUGCCAUCCUGCAAUUAAGAAAGCAUUUAAUUGCUUUUGCUCGAGCCAUCCUAUGAGUGAUUUGGGCGGCUCGUGUUCCUCAUGUGAACCAAUUUGCAGCUAGAGCCCGAGAGAGUGGGCACAGUGGCGUGUGAGGGCCCAGACGUGGUGAGCACCCUGGGCAGCCCUGGAUUGCCCUUUGGGGCCUUUGGGUGGAGGGGAGCACAAGCCUUAGAACCUUCCCGAUUGGUUUCCUGCUGGCUCCUCAGCAGGACUCCUGAUGAGUCCUGUGGAUGAGCGCUGGAUGCCCCUGAGAGGCUAUCUAGGUUCCUUCUCAUUUAACCGUGGGGAGGACUAAAGCCAAAUAAGUCAGGGAACUUGCCCCAAGUCACACAGCUAAUCACUGGCACCACCUGGGCUGCAGCCCAAGUGUUCAUUUCCCACCUGCGGUGCUCUGGGCUUCUCCUUGUUUUGCCAGCCUUUCCUGGGAGACGUGCUGCUGCAGCGCCUCUGAAACUGUGUUCACUCCCGUACUUGGUCUGCUUUUAGGUGCAUAACUGCCCGAGAGUUAUUUACUCAGGAAAUAGCUCAGAGCAUCCCUGAAUGGAUUAACCAACUCCAUCCAAAGAGGCAGGACCCACUCCCCUCUCCCCGCCACGCAGUCCCAACCAGCACACCUGGCAGCCUCACUGCAGCACUGGGGAUCACUGAGUGCACAAUGCCAUGACCACGGAGGCUCCAGCCCGCAGCAGAGCUCCCACCAGCCUUUUUUAGGUGCCAACCCUGCACCAGCUGACCCACUCACAGCAGAGGCCCCUUAGGCCUCCCAGAGACGGUUAGCAGCUUGCCUCCCAUCCCUGUGUCCCAGCACCACCUCCACAGGGCAGGUCUCCGGGCAUCUGUCAUUGCCGUGUCUUUGUUCCCUUACUGCUUAUACAUUUCCCCGCCACCGACCCCCUCACCUCCCAAACCCCACACCCUUCCACUGGGCUUUGGGUGCUUCUGCUCCACAGCAAUGGAUCCCUCCACCCCCAGCAGGGUGGGCAGGGAGACAUGCCACCCAGACCCCCAUCAACGAAGGCUUUGCCUCGGCUGCUGGGAAGGUGGUCGGCAGGCCACCUUUGGGGGCUGUCUUAGCUGUGGAGGGCUGCCUCGCCCACAGUCAUGCCCUUCUGGAGGGGAUGCCCCAUCUGAUGACUGAUCAAGGAGGGCAUAUAAGGAUCGGUUAUUUUGGUCCAAUGCAGGACAACUCUGAUGGAUCAUUUUGGCUCCAGAGCUCCCACAGGGUCAGCCCAGGGCCUGUCACUGGCCAGCAUCACAGCUUUACUUCUUCCUCCAACUUCUGCUUCAUCCCAGUCACAUCCCCAGGUAUUUAUCCCAAGAACAUUCCUGCUUAUGAAGAAAUAUUAAACGUGAUAACUCUAUAUUUAACAUUUUGAGGAAGUACCAAACUCUUUUCCACAGGGGCUGUACCAUUUUGGAUCCCUGGCAACAACGUGUAAGGGUUCUAAUAUGGUAUACAGGUAUUCCAGCAUCAUGUGUGGAAACGACUUUUCUUUCUUCAUCGACGCAUCUUGGCUUCCUUGUUGAAAUUAAUUGGCCAUAGAUGUAUGGGUUUAUUUUUGGACUCUCAAUUCUGUUCCAUUGAUCUAUAUGUCUAUCCUUAUGCUGGUACCUAACUGUCCUGAUUACUGUGGGUUUGUAAUAAGUUUCUUAAAAAUUAAAAUAAUUGUUUCCAGC